GACGAACGCUGGCGGCGUGCCUAAUACAUGCAAGUCGAACGAACCGCGACUAAGUGCUUGCACUAAGUCAAGGUGAGUGGCGAACGGGUGAGUAACACGUGGGUAACCUACCUCAUAGUGGGGGAUAACAGUCGGAAACGACUGCUAAUACCGCAUAGGACAUAGGAUCACAUGAUCCAGUGAGGAAAGGUGGCGCAAGCUAUCGCUAAGAGAUGGACCCGCGGUGCAUUAGCUAGUUGGUAGGGUAAAGGCCUACCAAGGCGAUGAUGCAUAGCCGACCUGAGAGGGUGAUCGGCCACAUUGGGACUGAGACACGGCCCAAACUCCUACGGGAGGCCGCAGUAGGGAAUCUUCCGCAAUGGACGCAAGUCUGACGGAGCAACGCCGCGUGAGUGAAGAAGGUCUUCGGAUCGUAAAGCUCUGUUGUUAGAGAAGAACAGCGCAUAGAGUAACUGCUAUGCGUGUGACGGUAGCUAACCAGAAAGCCACGGCUAACUACGUG
rnacentral:rRNA from 1 species